UCUCAUGCUUUUCAAGUAACUGUGCUGGACAACGAAAAGGAGAGAAAGCAGAGAUGGAUGGGGAAGUGUGGACUUCAUGAAGAUUUAGAGACUUUCUCUCACAUUCAUGCCAUCAUUCUUCCUGAAAACAUUGAACGCGUGCAAACAGCCUGGGACACACUGCACACGUCAGGGUUAGCUCCAUUUAUAGGACUGGAUCCCUCGGGCCAGUGAUCUUGUUCUAUUCUGCACUGACAGCCAGGCAGCUUCUGAGGGGUUAUCCACACUCCCUAAAGCUGUUGAGGAAAUCUCACGGAGAAGCCCAGGGGACCCGGAAUUUCUGGAGCCACACACUUGGUGUGAACUGGGUGGGCUCUCCCUUGUUAGCUCUGUGGCAGUCUGGAAGGAUCUCCAGGGAUGCUCAAGACCUGCUCUGUGCCAGGGGAGAAGGAGACUGACCCAGGGCCCUGUGUCUUUGGCAGAGGCAGGAAGGAAGCCACACAAGUCUCCUAAAUAUUCCCACGUGGCAGCAAAUCCAUACACAUCUCCCUCUCCCUUCCCCCGUGGAUGGCUUGCCCACAGCCUCUUAGCACCUCAGCAUCGUAUUUCUCAUUGAUGGAAGGCUCAGUCGUCACCAGCUUCAUCCUGUUGGCAAACCGCAGCGAAGACAGCUAGAAAAGAGACAAGGCAGAUGUCCGAUGACUUCCAAAUCAAGUAAGACCCCAAACCAUUAGGCUUUUCGAAGCCAGGCAUAGGGAUUCGUGCCUGUAAUUCUGAGCUACUCAAGAGGCAGAGAUUGGGAGGAUUGUGGUCCUAGCUCUGGCACAAAGUUGACUAUGUCAGUCAAUAAAACCGUAGGUGUAGCUGGGUGUUCGUGGCUCACGCCUGUCAUCCUAGCUACUCAAGAGACUGAGAUCUGAGGAUCACAGUGCGAAGCCAGCCCAGGCAGGAAAGUCUGUGAGACUCUUAUCUCCAAUUAACCACUAGAAAACAAGAAGUAAGGCUGUGCCUCUAAGUGACAGCUCCCAGGCCCUGAGUUCAAGCCCCAUGACCAGAAAAAAAAAAAAGUAUUUUUUUCAAUACCCCCACCAAAACACAUUAACCUACUAUACCCAUCGUUUUAGGAUUCCAGCAUGUAAUCAGUGUUUAAAAAUUACUGCUAGGCAACAGUGGGGUUCUGCGUGUAAUCCCAGCUAUUCAAGAGGCUGACAUCUGAGAAUCGCUGUUUGAAGCUGGCCCAGGCAGGCAAAUCCAAGACUCUCUCUCUCCAACUAAGAAGCAAAGAAGCAAAAAAGCUGGAAGUGGAGGUGAGUCUCCAGUGAUUCCUCUUGGGGUGCAGCGGUGCUUUGCUAUGAACCAGAGAGAUUUUAAAGCUCUCCUCUGGGGAGGCUGCCUCACGUCAGCUGGAGCUGCUUGCCCCAGGCUCCAAGCCCCAGGGGCACUGGAUGCGUGGCAGAAACGCGCUCCCUAGAAGCUGGGACUGUCCCUAACGCGCACAGCUGGGAGGCCCCGCGGACAGAUCUCGCGCCACCCGCAUCCUUGGUAAUGAAGGGCUUUGCCUACCUAAGUAUAUUCUCAAGAUAGCUGGGGAUUGCCUUACAGCGUGCACAUUUGAAAAGCAAAAUGGCUGGGGACAUAGCUCGCGUGGUAUAGUGCUUGGCCUGGCGAGUGUGAUGACCUAAAUUCAAUCCCUAGUAACAGACACAGACACACACACACACACACACACACACACACACACACACACACACACACAC